rnacentral:misc_RNA from 1 species
AAGUGGAUGCUCCGGCGCUUUGAAGUGUGAGGGAAAAUAGGGUUUGGGGUGUUGCUGCAUGAGAACUCGUAGAACCCGAGGGGAGUUGAGUUCACAGGGUGGUGGUGAUGGAACAUGAGGUUGGCCAAGUUCUUGCCAGCGAGCUUGCCUCUCUGUAGCUUGAGAUUCAUGUCCAUGAAGAGCUUGGUCUUGGAUAUGAGGCCCUUCCUCAACAUGAAGAAAGCGAUUCGGAGGUAAUUCCAGAGCUUCUUUGUGAUAACGGGGGAAUGCAGCUCCAUGAGGCUGAGUGGUGGGGUAAUUAAGGUUUGUGAGGCUAAAACUCUGCCAGAG